rnacentral:rRNA from 1 species
GAGUUUGAUCCUGGCUCAGGAUGAACGCUGGCGGCGUGCUUAACACAUGCAAGUCGAACGGGAAAUAUUUCAUUGAGACUUCGGUGGAUUUGAUCUAUUUCUAGUGGCGGACGGGUGAGUAACGCGUGGGUAACCUGCCUUAUACAGGGGGAUAACAGUCAGAAAUGGCUGCUAAUACCGCAUAAGCGCACAGAGCUGCAUGGCUCAAUGUGAAAAACUCCGGUGGUAUAAGAUGGACCCGCGUUGGAUUAGCUAGUUGGCAGGGCAAACGGCCCACCAAGGCGACGAUCCAUAGCCGGCCUGAGAGGGUGAACGGCCACAUUGGGACUGAGACACGGCCCAGACUCCUACGGGAGGCAGCAGUGGGGAAUAUUGCACAAUGGGGGAAACCCUGAUGCAGCGACGCCGCGUGAAGGAAGAAGUAUCUCGGUAUGUAAACUUCUAUCAGCAGGGAAGAUAGUGACGGUACCUGACUAAGAAGCCCCGGCUAACUACGUGCCAGCCGCCGCGGUAAUUC